CCCUCUACUCAAUGAUCAUACAUAACUAUAUGCAAUUAGGUUUGGAAAAAAAAAAAAACAUUGUUAUGUAUCUAUUAACCAUUAUCAUUGAUCAAAAAAACACUUCUAUUUGACUUGCUUGCUUGCAACUGAAAACCUUUGAUGAUUCGUGCUUGUAAAUGCAAUCUUUAUAUGUAUUCCUUUUUCUUCUUUUUUUAAUCCCAUAAAUAAGUUAAUGUUUUUCCCAUAUUGGAAGGCAGCCCCAAAAAAAAUAAAAUUAAGGGCCAUGAAAAUUACCUGGAUCUAUCUUUGCUUUGCUUAGCUUCAAAAUGAAUAGGAUCUGAGAUGAAGAGUCAACACAAACUUGGUUUAAAAACACCAGAAACUACAAAUAGAAGUGUAUACCUUUCCUAUGUGCUCUGGCAACGACUGUGGAGUAAGUUCUUGACGUUCUCCCUGGGCAAGCUUCCUCUCCGGAGGCAAAAUAAGAAUAGAGAGCAAAUCAUUAAAUCCUAUUAAUGAAGAUUAAUGAUAUAAAAAAAAAAAAAAAAAGCUUACCUUUUCGUGGAAGACUACCACUUUGCUCUUAAUUUCAGAAGAGCCUUUCCGUGGAAGGAACCUCUUUGCUCUUGAAGGUAGAUAAAUUAUUGGCGAGGUAGUGCAUUCCCAUGGUCGAAAGCAAAAAUGCAAAGCAGAAAUUUGGAGAAUGAUAGUUAACCUGUAAUAUAUAGUGUGUGUAAUAGAUGUCUUAGAGUGAAAGAGUUCUAUGUAUAUUAAAUAGUUUUGAAUUCCCGGUGAGAGUGAAAGACUUCUAUAAUCUUUUCCUUGAUUCUCGAAUCGUUUUUGACGAUUCGAUUUCCUAAGUUUUGACGAUAAAUGCAUUCAUACUGCAAAGCCUGAUGUAUGACAAUGUAUUUAAUGCAAUCGAAUUCCCCAAAAAAAUUAACAAAA